rnacentral:rRNA from 1 species
CCUACGGGAGGCAGCAGUGGGGAAUAUUGCACAAUGGGGGAAACCCUGAUGCAGCGACGCCGCGUGAGUGAUGAAGUAUUUCGGAUUGUAAAGCCCUAUUAGUAGGGAAGAUAAUGACGGUAUCUGAGUAAUAAGCCCCGGCUAACUCCGUGCCAGCAGCCGCGGUAAUACGUAGGGUGCAAGCGUUACUCGGAUUCACUGGGCGUAAAGAGAGCGUAGGCGGGAGAGCAAGUCAGGUGUGAAAGCCGGUGGCUUAACCCUAGGACUGCUGUGGAAACUGUUAGUCUGGAGUGCAGGAGAGGUAGGUGGAAUUCUUGGUGUAGGGGUAAAAUGCGUAGAGAUUAAGAGGAACACCAAUGGCGAAGGCGACUUGCUGGACUAUAACUGACGUUGAUGCGCGAAAGCGUGGGGAGCAAACAGGAUUAGAUACCCGAGUAGUC